CAGUCGCCACGGUAAUACGGAGGGUGCAAGCGUUAAUCGGAAUUACUGGGCGUAAAGCGCACGCAGGCGGUUUGUUAAGUCAGAUGUGAAAUCCCCAAGCUUAACUUGGGAACUGCAUUUGAAACUGGCAAGCUAGAGUCUUGUAGAGGGGGGUAGAAUUCCAGGUGUAGCGGUGAAAUGCGUAGAGAUCUGGAGGAAUACCGGUGGCGAAGGCGGCCCCCUGGACAAAGACUGACGCUCAGGUGCGAAAGCGUGGGGAGCAAACAGGAUUAGAUACCCGGGUAGUCCCUGUCUCUUAUAC
rnacentral:rRNA from 1 species